GACGUAGGUGGCGAACGUUAUCCGGAAUUAUUGGGCGUAAAGCGCACGUAGGCGGUCCGGCAAGUCGGGUGUGAAAGCCCUCGGCUUAACCGAGGAAGUGCAUUCGAAACUACCGGACUUGAAUACUCAAGAGGAUCUCGGAAUUCCCGGUGUAGAGGUGAAAUUCGUAGAUAUCGGGGAGGAACACCAGUGGCGAAGGCGGAGAUCUGGGGAGAUAUUGACGCUGAGGUGGCGAAAGCGUUGGGGAGCAAACA
rnacentral:rRNA from 1 species